rnacentral:lncRNA from 1 species
AAAAUGCAAUUUGCCAAUUAUUCGAUGAGUGGCAGGUCUUAGGAAGAACUUGCCUGGUACACAAUUUGCACCAGGAAGUGGAGGCUGCAUUAAGGACAAGGGCUGGAGGCCAUCUCUCCAACCGGAGGACCAAAGCUGAGAGGAGAGGAAGCAUCAGGUGGGGCUCAGAAACUGAACCCUGCCCUUCAUCAGAAAAUACGAGAUCAAGAUUCAAGUCCAGACUGAAGGACGACUUACUGACAAGAGCAGAAACUGUCUUGUGAAGAACAGGAGGGAAUUCACCUUUGAGGUCUCUGGUUCUUGAAUGACCUUACUUUAAGAGUCCUCGUACAGGAGACAGAGACACCUUUUACGAAGGUGACUUGUCCUCACAAAAGGAAAGCUUUUGCCCUGUUUUUAGAGUUUUCCCUGCAUCUGCUCAUUCUCAAUGUCCUUCAGCUCAAAAUCAUCUUUAUGCCAAAUGGGCCUAUUUUGGGGUGGCAAGUUCUGGUACUUUUGCUUGACAACACCUCUUCCGUAGACUGUUUUCCAUCUGCUUUGCUUCCAGUUAUCAAUGUGUUCUGUCACUCCUGAGAGACUAAAAUCUAGCACUUUGUAGGAUAAAAUGACUGCGAGUUCCUGUUAAAUUAAGUUCAGCCUAGAGCUUCCUUUCUCUGUACGCUGUAACCCACUCUUACGCCAGUCACCAAGUUUUGGCUCAUCAGAGGAGGCCAGCUGCUCAAACCUUGUUCAAAUAAGGCAAAUGCCGAGCCGCAACCAGUCCGGCUGUUAUCUCCAUUUUCUGUCUGUCACUUUCCUUUUGGUGUCCCUAAAUCUUCCACUUUAUGGCUGAGUGCUGGAGUCUCUGAGCCUUCUCUAGCUCAGGAGGCUGCCUGACUCACCAAUCAUCCAUUGCUCAAUUAAACUCUGUUAAGUUUAAUUUGGCUAAGGUUUUCCUUUUAACAAUGCAUUUAACUGUCCUUUCAGCUUUCCAAAGUUUACUCUUUUAACAAAUAUCGAGUGCCUUUUCUAAAGUGAAAACUCUGCUGUCUCUGUAUAAUU